GUGUUCAUUGAGAAUCCAGACAGAAAACUCAGGCUUACACUCCUGCACUCAAAUGAUGAUGAACCAGUCUGGACAUGUAACGUUUAUCAAGAUGACUAUCCCAUGUCUGGUUAUGUUGGAGGAUUUUGUUGCAGUUGUUGACAAGUUACUGAGGACCCAAGUGUAGACACUGCACAGAUCGUCAAGGGGAGCAGCGCGUGUCCGUAUGUUGACAGCUGAGAAACACUCGGUGGAUAAACAUCCUCCUGCACGGGGA